rnacentral:tRNA from 1 species
AGUAUGGUGGCCGAGUAUAGGCAAUAAAUUGUAAAUUUAUAUACGGGAUUAAACCCUCUUACUA